UACGUAGGGUGCGAGCGUUGUCCGGAAUUAUUGGGCGUAAAGAGCUCGUAAGCGGUGUGUCACGUCGUUCGUGAAAACCUGCAGCUUAACUGUGGGCGUGCGGGCGAUACGGGCAGACUGGAGUACUGCAGGGGAGACUGGAAUUCCUGGUGUAGCGGUGGAAUGCGCAGAUAUCAGGAGGAACACCGGUGGCGAAGGCGGGUCUCUGGGCAGUAACUGACGCUGAGGAGCGAAAGCGUGGGGAGCGAACAGG
rnacentral:rRNA from 1 species